ACGUCUAAUGCCGUUCUGUAGUUGUUCAGAUUGAUUCAUUCAGAGGAAAGGAACCUGCCCUUACUUUUCCUUGUUAGAACUAACGAGUGGUUAAAUUUGGCAGUGCAUUUCAUUAGAAUAUUGUUCGUUCUACGUAAGAAGUGGAGAAUAAAUUAGUGGUGCCAAGUACAGGAAAGUACAGCUCGAUGCCUUGGGAUUGGUUUAUUGGAGUAAAAGUCGAUCAAUGAAGAAUUGGAAGCUAAUCCACAAAAAUUUACCCAGACGGAAAAAUUUCAAUUUUCAAAAUAUAAUAUUUAGGUGUCAUUGAAUUUUUAAUUCUUGGGAGGCAAGCAAUCGAUAGCACAAAUUCGAUACAUACUCACCAUUUAUGGUGAACAAUAUCCGUUAAAAUAUAUACUAUUCAUCCUUCGGAGAUAUGUAUACACAUGAAGAUUUUCAUGCUUUUUAGAUGCUUUACGAACCACACUACUUAAACACCGGGCCCUUCGUCAUCGAAAGAUUCGAAGGAUUUCUGUUUGCUGAGAGCUUUAGAAAAUUGCCACUAUACUUGGAAUCUUGGCAACAUGAUUGGCGUAUCAUCUGGUUUCGUUCAAGAGACAAAAGCGUGACAAAUAUUGAAAAAUUAUCUGAAUUGAAGAUCAGCUCUAACAGCUUACACACGUCCCAGUUCAGUCAUCGUUAUGAUGCUAAACAAGAAAAUUCUAUUCUUUCCUCAGAAAUCAUGGACGAACUCCGUAGCGAAUCGAAUUCUUUUAGCAACAUCGGCGAAUUUAUGCAUUAUGCGAAAACUCGUAGUAAUGAAAUUGAGAUGCAGAAUAGAGACAUUAUUGGACUAAAAUCUCUUAUGAACUUUGUAGUAGACAAUAAAUCUCGUCAGCUUUAUCUCACCCAACCUUUAACAAGUCCAGAUUUGGAAGACCCUUUGCAGUUAUUUGACAACCCGUUAUGUCGCUUUGACGAUGUUGAUAACAAUGAUGUGAAAUUACCAAAAAUUCAUGUUGGCCAAUCUGGAGUAAUUCUUCCUUUUCAAUCCGAAGUUCACAACCUUGCCAGCAUCAAUAUUUGUCAUGCUGGAUGCAAAUCCUGGAUUAUUAUCCAUCCGUCCUCUGCUCAAGAGUUUGUGAGAAGGGUUGCCCACUGCGUGUAUCUAGAUGGCGUUCCCCCAGAAGCAUUUGAUUGUUUCGUUAGAAAUAAAAAGUAUGCUGUGACAUUACAACAAUUAGACUUAUGGAGAGUUCACUAUACGUUGAUCUUCCAGGAAGAAGGUGAUGUUGUAAUAACGUUACCAGGAGUAAUACAUGCAUCAUGUAAUUUAACAUUCUGCAUUAGUAGCUCAAUGAAUUUUCUUACGCUUGUUCGAGAAGAUGCAGAAAUUAUACAGGAAUCAUACCAGAAGUGCAUGUGUCACGAGAGGCACGGUACUUGGAUUAAUGACAUUCCUUCAAAAAGUAACCAAAUGAUUUGGGAGUGGAUGUAUUACGAAUUAAUCACAAAAUCUCAAAAUCAUCCAAAUACUAGUUCAAAUAUAUCAAGCAAAUCUCAUGGCAAUCCCAUGCACAAAAAUGUAUCAAUUCAAGAGUUAGAAGACCCCAACUGCACAACUUCACCAUUAAAUUCAAUGUCCUCAUGUCCCUCCAACUAUUUUAGUGGUGACAAAAUACCAGGUCAUUGCCACAACACGGCAUGGACAAAAUGGAGUAGUAAACUCUGUUCGAUAGGAGACGAUUUAUGCGAGAGAAGUGACCUUCAGCAAGAAUACCAGAAAAUAUGCGCAGAAAUCCAAGAGUUUUGUAUUCAAGUGGAUAAUUUUGCGGUGAAACGCUCUGAACCAGACAUGGUCGAAAUAGAACCUGCAAUACACCUGACCGAAAUAGGUCAGAUGAGUAGUGCCCAAAAUUCUGUCCGAAAUAAUAAUAACGAUACAGUUGUAUUCAAAUCUUCACAACAUGAACCCUUUCCAAUCUCCGAGGAAAAUGCAACACCACGACAUGAAGAAAUUGUAACGAUUGAGACGGCAGAAAUUUCUCCAUUAGCGAUAAAACAUGAAUUGAGGCCGCAUGAAAUUUAUCAGAAUCAGAAUCUCAAACCAGAAACAACUGCGAAGCAGAUCUCAAUGCAACGCUUAACAAAGUACAACUGUCCCCAAUGCUCUAGGCAAUUAAGCAGCAAAGCUCACCUUCAACGGCAUAUGUACCUCAAACACUCCCCAGAAGACAUAUCCGUGCAAUGUCCAAUUUGCUUGAAAAUAUUUAAAAACGACGUGAGCCUCCAGCGGCACCGGCGCCCAAUGUCUACUCGUCCAUCUCGAAGAAGGAACUUGUGCAGAGGACUCACUGAACGAAUCAAAGAUGACAAUCGAUUACGGUGCCCGAUUUGCGGACAAUUGUUCGUGCAAAAAAGUGGGUAUAACAGACACUUUAAAAAUAAGCACAAGCAGGGUACAAAAGUUGAGUCUAAAAUUGAUUAGGACUCAAUUUUGAAACUUAAAUUUAAAAAUCCUGUAAAAUAAAAUUGUAGAUAAUAAAUUAGUAAGACUGUUGUAUGCAGUAUUCAUAAGCCAUCUUUGAUUCGGAGAAUUUGUUUAUCAUUCAUCAAAUAGUUGCUUAUUCGUGGUACAGAUCCGGGAAAUUUGUAUACGUUAUCUACGAAAUAAAAUGAUUUCGCAGAAUACCGAAUUACUUAUAUAGAGGUUUGUACAUAUGUAUGUAUCAAUGAUUUACUCAUUAAAUGUUUUUGCACGACCACUGUUUUAUUAUUUUGAACAUGUGCGUAAGCAAAAUACAUAUGGCUGUUUGUCCAAAAUAUGGUCAUCUGUCAAGUAUUUAAUUUAUUUUUAUAGCUUGUUUUUAGAAACUCCUGCACAUAUAUGUGCAAUGUAAUCUAUGUACAUACACACACAUACAUACAUAUGUACAUAUGUACACAUUUAGAACUUUAUAUUGAGCUUUUACUCCAUAGUUGAGUACGGCAAUAUUGACUAUUUCUUGGUAAGCCAUUAAUGUCAUUAUUAAUGAUACUUUUGUCAGUUAGUCAUGCAUACUUACAUAUUUACAGAUAAAUUUUGUUUGAAAACAUUUUACCUCACCUUUAUAAAGACCAAUUUUGAUGAAUAAUUUGUAGAAUCUGCAGAAUUUGCAACUUAGGAACUUACUAAACUUAACUCCUUAACAUAUUUCCCAAAUAUAUGACACACAAACCAUGGGUAUCUUUACAUUCACAGUACUAUUAGUGGUAGCUCUUACAGAUAUAUUUUCCAUACAAUUGACCACUGCUCAAAGUAUUAAUUACUUCGGCGUAGCAUUUUCCCCUUAUGUGAAGAAAGGACCUCCGUAUCCCUACUGGGAUAGCUAUACAUUGGCAGAAAUUAAGCAAAUGUUGCGCAUCAUCCUUACAAAACACAACUCCAUAAGUACAUACGGAAUGGGUGUAGCAAGUUAUAACAAUGGCAAGCCAUGGGACAAAUGCGAUAGCAAUGCUCUCAUAGCUUGAGCAGCUUCAGAAAUCAAUCGUGACUACAACUCGGUGGUUAUCUCGGUUUCUCAGGGUAUCAACCAGCUUGAAGAUGCCAACUUAAUGAAUCGGGAAAUCAACAAUGCAUUUUCGGCAGCUCAAGAAGCCAACUCGGUGAAGCCUGGGACUGUGUGGGGUCUCACCUUUACAAAUGAAUACGUAACAAAUGCACAAACUGGGAAUAGGGUUUUGAAAAUGAUUCAAGACAACAAGGCUCGGGCACAAGGUUUAAGGCUCAGUGUGGGCACCAGAGUCAAUAUCUGUCGCCAAAUAUGGGGCGGAGAAAACCAAGCUGUUUUGAUAAAUAUUGCGAAAUCAUCGGAUUUUAUCAUGUGCAAUCUCUAUCCUGGGCCUGGAGCCAAUAAUCCGGAUCGAGCAGUGCAGGAAAUAUCCGACGCUUAUUACUCCGCAAGAGAUGGAUUCUGGCGUUACAACAAGAACAUUGAGGUAAUUAUUGGCGAAACAGGAUGGGCGUCUGAAGGUGCAACUUUUAACAAUGCGGUUAACACGAUUGAAAAUGAACGAAAAUUUUGGGAAGGGAUGAAAAACUGGGCGCAAACCAAUCGUGUCAAAGUUCAAAUGUUUGAAGCCUUCGAUGAACCAUGGAAAACAAAUGGAGAAGGAGAAAAACACUUUGGGUGGUGGAAUCGACCCAACAAUAAUGAGGGAAGGUAUAUCGAAAAGGCUACUGGGAAAGUGUUUACCUGACAAGUUAAAAUUAUAUCUACAAUACGUGGUAAUAUGUAUGUACAUAGCUGCAUAAUUUUUAAAUAAAAUUCUCUAUUUGCAAGUAAAAUUACAUAACAUGUACAGAAUAAAGAAGAAUUUAGAAGUAUAAA